GGCGAACGCUGGCGGCGUGCUUAACACAUGCAAGUCGAACGGAAAGGCCCUGCUUUUGUGGGGUUCUCGAGUGGCGAACGGGUGAGUAACACGUGAGUAACCUGCCCUUGACUUUGGGAUAACUUCAGGUAACUGGGGCUAAUACCGUAUAGGAUCUCCUGCUGCGUUGUGGGGGUUGGAAAUUUUCGGCUGUUGGGGAUGGAUUAGCGGCUUAUCAGCUUGUUGGUGGGGUAGUUGCUUACCCAGGCUUUGACGGGUAGCCGGCCUGUGAGGGUGACCGGCGACCUUGGGCCUGCGAUACGGCCCAGAGUCCUACGGGAGGCAACAGUGGGGAAUAUUGCACGAUGGGCGGAAGCCUGAUGCAGAAACGCCGCGUGCGGGAUGACGGCCUUCGGGUUGUAAACCGCUUCAGCCUGUGACGAAGCGUGAGUGACGGUAAUGGGUAAAGAAGCACCGGCUAACUACGUG
rnacentral:rRNA from 1 species